UAUUAUUAUUAUUAUUAUUAUUAAUAGUAAUUAUAGUAGUAGUAAUAACAAUAAUUAUAAUAAUAAUAAUAAUAAUAAUAAUAAUAAUAAUAAAAGAAAACAUUUAAAUAAGAAUAAAAAAGAAAAACACAAUGAUCCAAGAACUCAUACUAACUCUGUCGCUGUCAAUGAUCAGAUGGGAAAAUAUCCGCCGUCAUUAGGCGUGUUCUGCCUCCAUCUAGUGGCCGCACUGGGGAGGCGCACCCCUCAGCUCCAGGUGUCUGUAAUCACGCGCUGAUUACGGAGCACCUGUUUAAACACGGCCCAGAGCUGUCGACUUUACUGUUCAACAUGAGUACCAGACGGACGCUCCACAGAUCGCCCCCCGCCCCGAACUGUGUACAGGCUCUGGAUUUUUCCGAGAUACAAAAUGAGGAAAAAUAUGACCCCAACUGUAGAAGGAGUAGCUUCAUGACUCCUCCAAUCAGACAAGACCCAUCGGACGAGCCCGAGUCUAUGGUGAAGGGGAUGAAGGGCUAUCAGAUGACGGCCGCUGACCUGGAGUUCAUGCAGAGGCUAAAAGAGGAGAAGGAGCUCAAGAAACUGCAGGAAGAGGCAGCAGCUUUGGAGAAUGAACUCAAAUGUCGUCAGAUGGCUCUGGAGCGGUCUCUGGCUGUCAAGGAGAAAGCUGAGGCUGAACUGGAGCAGUUGGCAUCCUUCGAGGACAUCAGAACGUGGGCUCUGGUGGUCCUUGAAAAGACCUCACCAUCAUCCACGGACCUCUCAGACCUGGACAUAAAGGCACUGCUGGCCUUAAUCACCUGCGAAAAUGUGGGCAAAGUCCUCUCUGAGAAAGACCUGGAGCUCGUAGGGCUGGAGGACAAGUUGGCUCAGAAGAAGGAAAUGGACGCCGAGGAGAGGGAACGGCUGGAACAGAGUAUCGGCAUUAAACAGGCGAAGAUCCUUGGAUUGAUGGGCACGUUGGCAGAGCUGAAGUCCUCCCUGACUCGACAGCAGGAACUAAAGCUGAAAAACCAACAGCAUCCAGAAAAAGCAGGUGUAAAACGUGGCCCAAAACGUAAAGACAAGCCUCCUGUAAAGACGGAAACAGUUCAAGCAGACAAAGGCUCGAGCAAAGGCACGUCAGGUGUCCGGGCUGAAGUUCAGAGGAAGGGCAAAGUGAAAAUGUCGGCAGCAGCGGCGGAUCGAGAGGCUCCACAAAAAGGGAAGGGGGCUCUGCCCAAGCCCAAGUCCGAAGAGGCGACAGUGACGGCGACUCAUAACAGACGAAAAGCUGUGGCUGUGAGUAGUGCCCCUGCGGAGAACCAGGAAGUCGUGCUGCGGCGGUCCAAAAGGAUCGCCUGUAGAAAGUAGCUUAGUGACUUACAAGUAGUUUAGUUUUUACAAGUUUUUAUGGAAUAAAGUUCAACAUAAAAUGUUUAAAUUCAUUAAAUAAUUUGGACAAUUCACUCACAUGUUUGUGUAUUCUUUCCUUCUGAAAAUGUAGUCAAGUUGGUCCUGAGGUUACGCUAAUCUUGAAGACCAAAUAAAAAUGAUUUGAUCAAUGU
ensembl:lncRNA